rnacentral:rRNA from 1 species
AACGAACGCUGGCGGCAGGCCUAACACAUGCAAGUCGAACGCCCCGCAAGGGGAGUGGCAGACGGGUGAGUAACACGUGGGAACCUUCCCAACAGUACGGAAUAGCCCAGGGAAACUUGGAGUAAUACCGUAUAUUCCCGAGAGGGGAAAGAUUUAUCGCUGUUGGAUGAGCCCGCGUCGGAUUAGCUAGUUGGUGAGGUAACGGCUCACCAAGGCGACGAUCCGUAGCUGGUUUGAGAGAACGACCAGCCACACUGGGACCGAGACACGGCCCAGACUCCUACGGGAGGCAGCAGUGGGGAAUCUUGGACAAUGGGCGCAAGCCUGAUCCAGCCAUGCCGCGUGAGUGACGAAGGCCUUAGGGUUGUAAAGCUCUUUUGCCGGGGACGAUAAUGACGGUACCCGGAGAAUAAGUCCCGGCUAACUUCGUGCCAGCAGCCGCGGUAACAC